rnacentral:snRNA from 2 species
GGGUGAUCUGGCUGCAACAUCUGUCACCCCAUUGAUCGCCAGGAUUGACUGAGCUGAUCUGGAUGGCUGUGUGUGUGUGUGUGUGUGUGUGUGUGUACAUAUAUGGUAUAUAGUAUACUACAUAUACAUAUAUACACACAUAUAUACACAUAUGUAUAUACACACGUAUAUAUACACGUGUGUGUAUAUAUAUAUAC